rnacentral:rRNA from 1 species
CCAAACUUCUAGCCUCACUAAUAACCAUUUUAAUUCAUUAAUUUAUUCUAUUAUUUUAAAACAUUUUCUUAAUUAAGUAAAGGUGAUAAAAAAAUUUCUUAGAGCAAUAUAAAUAGUACCGUAAGGGAAUGAUGAAAUAAAAAUGAAAUAACUUUUAAGCAUAAAAAAGUAAAGUUUUCCUCUUGUACCUUUUGCAUCAUGGUUUAACUAGUCCUCUUAGGCAAAAAGACUUUUAGUCUAAAUUCCCGAACCUGGGCGAUCUACUCUAAGACAGCUUUUAGAGCCAACCCGUCUCUGUUGCAAAAGAGUGGGAAGAUCUUAUAGUAGCGGUGACAGACCAAGCGAGCCCAGUGAUAGCUGGUUGCUUUUUAAAAGGAUUUUAGUCCAACUUAAAGUUACUUAUAUCUUAAAAAAUUCAACUUUAUAGUAAUUCAAAUAAGGUUCAGCCUGUUUGAAAAAGGAUACAACCUCAACCAUUGGGUUACCAUGCUUUAUAAAAACAAAGUA